rnacentral:rRNA from 1 species
UACAGAGGUCCCAAGCGUUGUUCGGAUUCACUGGGCGUAAAGGGUGCGUAGGUGGUUAGGUAAGUCCGAUGUGAAAUCCCCGGGCUCAACCUGGGAAUGGCAUUCGGGACUGCAAGGCUGGAGUGCGGCAGAGGAGACUGGAAUUCCUGGUGUAGCAGUGAAAUGCGUAGAUAUCAGGAGGAAUACCGAUGGCGAAGGCAGGUCUCUGGGCUGACACUGACGCUCAUGCACGAAAGCGUGGGGAGCAAACAGG